CCUACGGGUGGCAGCAGUGGGGGAUAUUGCACAAUGGGGGGAACCCUGAUGCAGCGACGCCGCGUGGGUGAAGAAGCGCCUCGGCGCGGAAAGCCCGGUCAGCAGGGAAGAAAAGGACGGUACCUGAAGAAGAAGCCCCGGCUAACGACGGGCCAGCAGCCGCGGUAAGACGUAGGGGGCAAGCGUUAUCCGGCUUUACUGGGUGGAAAGGGGGCGCAGACGGCGAGGCACGCCAGGAGUGAAAGCCCGGGGCCCAACCCCGGGACGGCUCUUGGAACGGCGUGGCUGGAGUGCAGGAGGGGCCGGCGGAAUUCCUGGUGUAGCGGUGUCAUGCGUAGAUCUCCGGAG
rnacentral:rRNA from 1 species